rnacentral:lncRNA from 1 species
AGAACCACCAAUCUGAAUGACUUUGCACUAUUACUUUUUAAAUGUCACGAGAAAUGGAGACCAAGUCCCUAAAAAAAAAAAACUAUAACCACAAAAAGAACACUAACAUGCAUGCUUAAACAAAUCAUAUUUUAAUUGUAACUCUACAACAAGUGAAUCUCGGAUCAAUUUCAUGGAUUGGAUCUCAUUGUCCAUAGAAAAGAGGAAAAACAAAUAGAUCUAGGAUUUGAGCUUACCUUUUAAAGGAAGGAAUAAAGACUAUAGAACAAUGGGUAGCACAACAAUUGGAUUUGGAUGGUUAUAGGAGUUAUCUUCCCUUCAAUUUUUUCUUUGAUACUUCAUUUCCUCAUGGAUGUGGGAGAUAUGCUCGAUGGCUUAGAUUAGGACAGCAU